CAGUGGAGAGAGAGAGAGAGGGGAAAGAAGGAGGUUGGGCUCGGCGGCGGCCGACGAGAAGGUAGCUCUCCUUGCUUCGGGGAGGGAGGGGACACGAGACAGAAGAUAGAGUGGAGGGCACUAGAGACGGCAGGGUGGAGGGGGCUAAGUAGAAGUCUAGCUCCGAAGGCCUCCGACGUAGCUCUCAUCGUGGCGGUGCGGGUUGAGGCGAGGGAAGGCCACGAUUAGGUACGAGUCGUCUAGACCAGCGCUUUUCCUGCCGCGGGGUGGCGGGGACGACCUAGGCGGCUCGGUCGCCGGCCUAGAUAGCUCUACGCGGCCCUAGGGCUCGGAACAAGGAGGGGUGGAAGAGGAGGCAGCUGUCAUCCGUCGUCUCGUUCCGCGCCCGCUGACGAGGCCGGUCUCCUCCCGCACUCCACGCUGCGCCGGAGUGACCCCGCACUGAGGCAGUCGGUCGUGGCCGCGGGUUGACCCUAGGUGGCUUGGGUCCGCGCCGGAUGCCGCCCGCACGCCAAAACUCAAGUUGUCCUCUCGAGCGUGCUCUAACUCGCGACGAGGGCAGAAGGUCGCUUGGGUUUUCUCUCGUCUCCUCCUCUACUGGUUCCCGCAACCAGGCGGCUAGCCGUAGCUGGAGCCCUACUGGAUGAGGACGCAACCGCACACCGUCGUCCAGCUGUAGUACCCGUCGCUGGUCCGGUGGUACCGUUGACGUGGUGCGGGAGGAUGCAGAGGUGGUAGUCUCUGCGGCGGUCCUUGGUCCAGCGUUACUUGAGGUGGUUGUGGCAGAAGACAAGCGGUGUCAACUCAUAACCUCUAGCACACACUAACUUUGUAGUAAAUGUAACUAGAACCGCUCCUGUUGUGUACCGAACGACCAGAAUUUGUAUAAAACA
rnacentral:rRNA from 1 species